rnacentral:lncRNA from 1 species
CUCUGGAUCCCCAAUGCUCUUUCCCUGUUCUCAUUGUUUCUAUCUGACAUUGUGUGAACUGCUGAUGAGGUCCAAUUUAGCGUUCACUUUGCGGCCUGCUUCUGGAAAUGUAUGUGUCUCUCAAGGUCACUCGGCUUUACCACUUCAGUAUCUGCACUUAGAUCUGUGGCCUUGCUCGGUUUGGGGCAGAGAACAAAGUCAGGUUUCUUCCCAUGGAUCCAGCCCUUGAGACCCUGCAGUGCGUGCUGCUGUCCCCAUUAUGUCCUUCUGUCAUCAUGCAGACAGCACAGACCUUCUAAUGAGUCUCAUCUCUGACACGGCCAUUCUCAUGGCUUUGUUGUAGGCUGAGAUUGUGCUGGCAUCCCCCUCUUUCUCUCCUACAUGUGGAUGUGAUGUAUUCCUGAACCAGCUUGCCAGCCCACUUUCUCUAGACAUCCAAUUGCAGCUAUGAUUAGAAUAGAUCUCAGCUUUAUAUAUUUAUUGGACAGUGGGGCUAUAGCCCAUUUUCUGUGCACUUAAAUAUAACUGUGUAUAUAUAAAAUACCUAGUUGUGUAUUUCUUUUCUUUUUCUCAUUUUCAAUGCCAAGAAAAUAUUUUUGUAGUUUUGUUUAGCAAUUCUUAUUUGUAUGUAUUUAUGUGCAUUUAUGGGGCACGUAGGACGUGUUUGAUUCAUGCACAUGAAGUACAUGCUCAAGUAAGAGUAGUCAGUAAUACUGUCUCCAUGCGCAUUGCCUUUCUGUAAAGCUUUUUAUUUCACUUUUAACUAUGUGCAUGUGUCUGCAUGGGAGGUUGUGCACCUUCGUGCAGCAUCUUUGGAGAUGAGGAUGUCUGAUCCUCUGGAGCUCAGAUAACACAGUUGUGAGCUGCCUAUCAUGGAUGCUGGGAACCCAGCUUAAGGCCUCCGCAAGUGCAGCAUGUGUGAGCCAUCCCUCCAGCCCCCUAUAUUAUCAUCUCUAUGUACUGAGAAUCUUCUGCUUCUUUUCCUCUACCUAUUUUUUUUAAAGAUUUAUUUAUUAUUAUACAUAAGUACACUGUAGCUGUCUUGAGACACACCAGAAGAGAGCACCAGAUCUCAUUGCAGAUGGUUGUGAGCCGCCAUGUGGGUGCUGGGAUUUGAACUCAGGACCUUUGGAAGAGCAGUCAGUGCUCUUACCUGCUGAGCCACCUCACCAGCCCUCCUCUGCCUAUUUUAAAACCCACAGCAUGCUGGACACAAUACACUUACCCCUGUGCACUCUGGAACACCGGGGCUGAUUCCUGUUAUCUUAGUGGUGUGUGGCUUUUCUCUGUCCCCCUGCUUUCCUACCUGUUCUGAGACCACGACUAUACAGUGCUUUGCUGUGAUGGAGGACCUGCGGUGCUUGUCUUCCCUUGGCUGUUGUGCUCCAUCUAACAAGAUGUCCUUUCUCCCCACCCACAUGGCACAGGUGAUUUCAUACUUUAUGGCCGUGUCUCUCUACAUUAGAAAAAUCUAUUGGUCAACUUGGGUUGACAGUGUUGAAGGGGACUCAGGUAUCCAGGCAUCUCCUGAGGCAUCGAGAUCAUUUUAUUUCAUAUAAACCAGCAAAGGAAUUUUAAUUUUUUUCAAGGCAUCUUAUCUGUUUUACACAAUGCAGUAUGUCUUGAACACUGUGCCAGGUACUCUUGCCUCUUUGAUAAUAGCCAUCUGUCCUAGAACUGGUGGAUCGCCGUGAAGGGACACCAUGACCACGGUGACUCUUU